UACGAAGGGGGCUAGCGUUGCUCGGAAUCACUGGGCGUAAAGGGUGCGUAGGCGGGUCCUUAAGUCGGGGGUGAAAUCCUGGAGCUCAACUCCAGAACUGCCUUCGAUACUGAGGAUCUCGAGUCCGGGAGAGGUGAGUGGAACUCCGAGUGUAGAGGUGAAAUUCGUAGAUAUUCGGAAGAACACCAGUGGCGAAGGCGGCUCACUGGCCCGGUACUGACGCUGAGGUGCGAAAGCGUGGGGAGCAAACAGG
rnacentral:rRNA from 1 species